rnacentral:rRNA from 1 species
AUUGAACGCUGGCGGCAGGCCUAACACAUGCAAGUCGAACGGUAGCACAGAGAGCUUGCUCUCGGGUGACGAGUGGCGGACGGGUGAGUAACGUCUGGGAAACUGCCCGAUGGAGGGGGAUAACUACUGGAAACGGUAGCUAAUACCGCAUAACGUCGCAAGACCAAAGUGGGGGACCUUCGGGCCUCACACCAUCGGAUGUGCCCAGAUGGGAUUAGCUAGUAGGUGGGGUAAUGGCUCACCUAGGCGACGAUCCCUAGCUGGUCUGAGAGGAUGACCCGCCACACUGGAACUGAGACACGGUCCAGACUCCUACGGGAGGCAGCAGUGGGGAAUAUUGCACAAUGGGCGCAAGCCUGAUGCAUCCAUGCCGCGUGUAUGAAGAAGGCCUUCGGGUUGUAAAGUACUUUCAGCGGGGAGGAAGGCGGUGAAGUUAAUAGCUUCACCGAUUGACGUUACCCGCAGAAGAAGCACCGGCUAACUCCGUGCCAGCAGCCGCCGCCG